AAAAAAAAAACCUACGAUCGAUGCCUCGUGCCCACAGCAGAUCGUUCUCCGCCGCCCUCCCAUCGAUCUGCCGCCGAUCCCUGCGGAGCUUCCCUCCCCAAUCCGAUCUGACGGAGAGAGUGCCAGAUCCGGCCGGGGGAGCCGCCGUAGAGCCUCCACGUCGGUGGAGCAGCACCUCCUGCCACGGGCGCCGCCGCCACCUCCUGCCUCACGACCCUUUGCCGCGACUCCGCCCCCAAGCGCGGCUCCCGCACGCAACCCGAACCCUAUCCCGCCAUGCCUCGCUGCCUCGCCGCUUGAGCCGCGCUGAUGGAGCCCGAGCAGCGGUGGCCGACCCCGUCGCCGCCGCCGAGCCUGUGGACGAGGAGAAGGAGAAGGAGGAGGAGACGGAGGCGGCCGAGGACGAGGAGGACACGCUGCUGGACCGCGCGCAGCCUGAUCUCACGGGUCCCUUUGCACAUGUGCAGUUCGUCAAUGGACCAAUGCCUAAUCUCCCCAAGGUUGAUGUUUCACUGGACCCGGUGAAGGAGUUGAGCAGAGUAAUAUCUGAGCGAAAAAAUUGAGGGGCGUGCUUUGGUUGUGCUCUCAGCCAGGUUAUUUUACGAGGGUUGUGUGCACUGAACCCCAUUUCUCUGGACCAAGGGACGAUGAACAAGAUGGGAAUGAGGAGGAUGCUACUAAUCCGGAGUAGUAAUAUUGGAUUACAGGUCAUGGGUUAGUAGUUAACUGCAGAAAUCAGAAUAUUGGAUAGCAGUAACUAAGGCCAUUGGCAAUUUCUAUCAUAUAUCAUAAUUUAUUUGUGUGAUUCCUUUACCAACUACAUGUUUCUAUUUGUUUCCUAUAUUUUGUUUGUUCCUGAAUAUUUUAUGAAUUGUGUAUUUCUAUUUUAAUACAUAAGACUCUUUUUCAUGCAAUUUACUCAAUGGCCUAUAUGAGAAGCCCUAAAUAAAGCUAUUCCUCAUUUGUACGCUUUCUUACUUAUAUAGAUCAAAAUAUGGAAUUCUCUGCAGGUUAACUAAUACAUGCAUCAGCUUUGUAUCAUAAAGAUUUCACCAUCCCAAGGUAAUGGAAAUAAGUUCACAAGAUUCUCAUGUUGAGGUCUGUACAAAGAGAUACAAGGCAAUGUCUGUGUGCUGGAAGGAGAAACUCACUGCCAAAGCUAUAAUCCCUGAUGCUAAAGCCUGCAUGUUCAGAUCUGCAGAGUUUACUCAUAUUACUGUAUGAAUGAUUAAUACAGAGGGAGCCCUUUUGUCAGGUCAUUUAAUCAUUAAAUCAUACGUACAUUAUCUCAGGUAACUUACUACUACCUUUGUUCGAAAAUAAGUGCCGUUAACUUAGUACACCUUUGCACUAAAAUUGUACUAAAUCCGUGACACUUAUUUUGGGACAGAGGGAGUAUUUCAUUUUCUACCUGAACCAAGUUGUUAUUUCAUUUCUAAGAGGCAAAGAGUUCCUCAUGGUUAGUUUGCCACAUUUUAUAUGUCUAUCUAUGUGCAUUACUAAUUCACUAUAUGCACCUUUAGUUCCCAGUUUUGGCUCACUUUCUUGAUGCAUCUCGGAUGAGAGGAAAGGAAUGGAUAAUCUGACAAGCAAUGUUCGGGCAUACCCUUAUAUUUACGUCUGAUGAAAUGCUGCGGGUGCAAACUAAUCAAGACUGCUGCCAUGAGCAAAAGAGCAGACAUUACUUAUGAGAAAACAAUAAAAGAAUCUUCCGUGACUACAUACCACGACGAGUCAAAGACGAUGAAAGCACUACUCCAUUGGUGGUGUUAGCAAGUGGAGUCUGGAGGGAGAACAACACAAAGUAGGAAAUUGAUUCCCUCGCCCUUGCUUGCUUCAACGACCCCGCCCGUCUUGGUGGGGUCGAUUCCCCCAUCGCCCGACUCAUCUCCGACGAGUAUGGCGUCAGUGGGUACGCCCCGCCGUUCGUAUGCUUGGCGGGUCCCAGAACACCCGUGACGUGUAUGAGCUUGACUAGGGCGAGGGGCUCGUGCUCGUGCUCGAGCUCGACAAGACGCACUUCGAUCUCGUCACCAACUACGAGCUGGACUGUGAGACUCCAGAGCAGGCGGGGGCGACGAAGACGAAAGUGGGGGCAGUUCGAGCUUGUCGCUGCCGGAGACCCUGGAGAGGUGCGCGAAGAGACCUGGUUAGAUUUGUUGGCCACCACUGGUAAACUGCACUAAUAACAAAUCGGAUGUCAUCUCUCAUGUUGCCGAUUCAACCCUGGAUGAUGUUGCGCGGCCCGCGGCCAUGGACGAUGUGCUGUUGGACAACGACGCGAGGCCGAGGCAGCCAAUGUGAAUGACCACUGGAAAUCAUUUACCUUUCAAUCUUGGAAGGCCCUAAGCUAAAGGAGAGCAUCAAUUGUCAUGAGAGAUAAGCAAUAUCUAUUAGACACGCAUACUAUCAGGCUAACGCAAACCACUCGGGAAUGAAGAACUUACUUCCCAACAAGGAAAGUCCAGUGAUUGGGCAACAACAUGUGGAAGGAUAAUUACUGGAUACUUUUUUUAGCGAAUAACUGCGGAGCGAUUUGCUGUCUCAAAACAUGAGACACAAUGAGGUGAAAGAGAUGUGAUGGACAUAGAAGAGUAAACCCAUGAGGACAAAGAGAUGUGAAGCACAUAGAAGGAGGAAGCAAGGACCUCGAUCCACAUUAUUGAAGACAUAGAUAAGAACAAGAGUAUCACACUUCACACAUCAACCAAUCAAUGACACAUGUUGGUAUUGGGGCAUAUCACCCUCCCUUGCAUUAUACCUGUUAAUAUUAAGAUGAAACACUUAGUUGGAUGCAUUUCUCUUAUAUUGUUCUAUGGCAACACCCGAGCAUUCUGCUAGAGAAGAUGCUCGGGUGUAGACAGAAUCAUAUAUUAUAUUAUUAUCAUUAGUAUCAACAUAUUUGUAAAUGUUUUCAUACUCAAUCUAUGAGGUUAGAUUCAACAC